AUAAUAAUAAUAAUAAUAAUAAGCGUCUCCAUUGACAGUUAUGCAUAAAUUACAUUAGUGGUUGGCAAUAACUGGAUAUAUGAGACUGAUUGUCCCCUGAGUUGAGCCUUCUGAAUUAUGUAGAGAAUUCUAAUUUUUAUGACUAAUUAGUAGCUGCAGACUACCAUUUGAGAACUCAGCUAAAAGAACCUGUUGAUUUAUGGGUUGUAAAGCUGAAAAAAAAUUUGUUUGUACCAUGUCUGGUUGCUUGUGCAUUGUGGGAUGCUUGCUUUAUAUCUAAAGUUGUUAUGUAAAGUAAGUAAAAUAGCACUCUGUGGGGAAAAGUUCAUAUUAGUCCCCAAAAAUUUAAAAUGCGCAUUUAAGUACGCAAUACCCACCAUUAAGUAUUCUGUUAAAAUGUAAUAUUCCACUAGUUACACCAAAAAUCAGUUUGGAAAACUCAUAUUGGUCCCUAGAGAAAGGUUUAAGUGCAAAAGAGUCCUCAAAAAAAAAAGAAAAAAAAAUCUCUGGACCAAAAAUUCAAUAAUAUAAAAAGAAAAAAUAUUUUUAUUCUCCCUCAACUAAUGUCCAUUUGAUUAUUUUUUUAGUUUUGUAAUAAUUUUCUCAUUAUCAAUCUCUCAAAUACUUCUCUUAUGUUAUAUGAUCAUUUUUGUAAUUUUUUGGUAAAAUUUUUAUGUUUCAGUUUUGUCAAAUUCUG
rnacentral:misc_RNA from 1 species